rnacentral:rRNA from 1 species
AUUGAACGCUGGCGGCAGGCCUAACACAUGCAAGUCGAACGAGUGGCGGACGGGUGUAUAAUGUCUGGGAAACUGCCCGAUGGAGGGGGAUAACUACUGGAAACGGUAGCUAUUACCGCAUACCUUCGGAUUUUCCCAGUUGGGAUUAGCUAGUAGGUGGGGUAAAGGCUCACCUAGGCGACGAUCCCUAGCUGGUCUGAGAGGAUGACCAGCCACACUGGAACUGAGACACGGUCCAGACUCCUACGGUAGGCAGCAGUGGGGAAUAUUGCACAUUGGGCGCAAGCCUGAUGCAGCCAUGCCGCGUGUAUGAAGAAGGCCUUCGGGUCGUAAAGUACUUUCAGCGGGGAGGCGUUACCCGCAGAAGAAGCACCGGCUAACUCCGUGCCAGCAGCCGCGGUAAUAC